UAUGCUCUACUAGAAUAUCAAUUCUACUUACUAGUACACUUGGUUCAAUCAAAAACCUGGUAAUAAAUUGUUCAAAUAAGGCCUUUGAAAAUAGUGUAAUUAAUUACUUUUGGAGUGUCAAAAAUUCGUUGGAAAUACUUGAUAAAUUGCAUUCUUAUAUUGGUGAUUUCGAAUCUGUUCAAAGUUUCGAUUUUUCUAACCUAUAUACCACUUUGCCUCAUAAUCUUAUUAAGAAAAAAUUCACACACCUGAUUAAUUUGGCAUUUAAAAAGUCGGAAUGCGAAUAUAUAUGUUCAAACUCUUUUAGGUCAAUUUUUAGUAACAACAAACAAAAGAACUAUGUCAAUUGGACCUGUUUUGAUACUAUAACUGCCUUUGAAUUUUUACAAGAUAACAUUUUUGUUCGCUAUAAAGAGUCCGUAUAUCGUCAAGUUAUCGGAAUUCCCAUGGGGACUUACUGUGCACCACUUAUUGCGGACCUGUUUCUGUAUUGUGAUGAGUUACAAUUUAUGACUAAAAUCAGCAAAGACCAAUCGAAACAACACGAGAUUCAAACAUUAAAUAACACUUUUAGAUAUUUAGAUGAUAUGUUGGCUCUCAAUAAUGACGACUUCAGUAUGUACACUUAAGAGAUUUAUCCUGCCGAACUGACUUUUAAUAAAACUAAUACUAACAAUGACCACAGCCCUUUCCUGGAUCUUGAUAUCUAUAUUUUUAACGGGAAGCUUAAUACCAAAAUUUAUGAUAAAAGAGAUGAUUUGUCAUUUCCUAUUGUUAAUCAUCCAUUUGUAGAUGGUGACGUUCCCUUGUCACCAUCUUAUCGUGUUUAUAUAUCUCAACUUGUUCGAUUCACUCGUGUAUGUAACAACGUAUUGGAUUUCAACAAAAGAAAUCUCUGUAUUACUGAACAAUUAUUACACCAGGGUUUUCGAUAUCACAAGCUAGUCAAACCAUUUACUAAGUUUUAUCAUCAGUACAAGGACAUCAUUCGUAAAUAUAAAUCAACAUGCAGACAUCUUAUACGUUCGGGUAUUUCACAUUAUAUACAAUAUUUUCACAUUAUAUACAAUAUUUUCACAUUAUAUACAAUAUUUUAUGGUUAAAUUCUUUACAAAGCACACAAUUAUCGACAUUCACCUCAAAAGCUAACCAAACCUUUAAACAGACUUAUUAGGAAGGAAUAUAGUUACGAUACUGUUGUCAGAUCAUUAAGGAUUGCAUAUUUUGGUAUUAAUAUUGAUUCACUCAUAGGGUCUUUGCAUCGGAAAUAAACACAUUUAUUCUAAAUCCAGUUGUUGGCAUGAUACAGGUUAUGUUCUUCUUAUAUAUUUUAUGAUGAUAUGAUGCUAAACCCCUAACGGGAGGGAUUGUACUUGAUUUUCAUAUGAUGAAGACAUAAUCUUUCAAUCAGUUCAAUUUAGGUCUGGAGCUGGUAUGUCAGUUACUACUAGUAGUCCUUUGUUAAUUUAUGUAGCAUUGUCAUUUUGCUUAGUUUCUUUUGUUGCCUAUUCUGACAUCGGACUCGGGCUUCUUUUAAACUGAGUUUUACUGUGCGUAUUGCUAUGUGUUUCUUUGUUGUACAUUGGCUAGAGGUCUCACAAAAAAUGUUUAACUCCGCCACAUUUUAGCACCUCUUUAAAAUUAGAAGACAAAAGAAUAAUCUUAUAUAGAAGGAAAAUAUAACCAGGUUUAAUCCACCAUUUUCUACAUAAGAAAAUGCCUGUACCAAAUCAGGAAUAUGACAGUUGUUAUCCAUUCGCUUGAUGUGUUUGAUCUUUUGAUUUUGCCAUUUGAUUAGGGACUUUCCGUUUUGAAUUUUCCUCGGAGUUCAGUUUUUUUGUGAUUUAACUUUUUUCUAUGAUUCAAUUUGUCCUAAGACCAUCAUAAUUUGAACUAUCUUGAGACGCUUUGAUUGCGGUCUUUGACGUAUCCGUAUGGCUAUCUGAGGAUACUUUCGAAAUCAGGUGUAAUGUAUACCCUGGUCUACUGAAGCUAUUACCUCGGAUUGUAACAAAGAGUGAAUUUAUUUAAUUUGCUUGUUAUUUAAUUUCCUUUUAACCUUGUAUUCUUUUUUUUUUCUAUAUAACCAUGCACGUAUAAACAAAAGUUGCAAACGGUUGUCAUGAAUUUAAGUCUUGUGCUGUGUAAUAAGUAAGAGGUUUCAUCGUUAACAACAUGUUUUAUAUUAAUUCCAGAAAAUCAGUUUUAUGGUGUGCAGUAUACUAGGGGCAGCAGAUUUUUCUCCAUUUCUAUUAUCUAUGUGGAUUCCAAAAUUGAGAUUUAUGUGUGAUGUUGGCGGUUGUGGCUAUAUCAACAAGGAAUACUUUUAUACAAUAUCAAUUUUGAUGGUCAUAUUAUCCGUUGUUGUAUUACUACUCACGAUCAUUUCAGCAUCCUACUGUUGUUGUUCACCAUGGGAUAUACAAGAAAAUCAGGUGCUGGGAUGUUGCUACAUAAAAUGGAAAGUUCACAGUUGGUUGAACACACCUCUUAAAGUUAAGUUCUUAUCUUACAAUCACUGUCAAUUCAAACAUGAAAAUAUGAAGCAGGUACAAAUGUACUCUUAACCAUUCACUAUGCUUGAUGCUUACAUUUUUUAAUUCGGUCAAAACCCAUCCUAAUGAAAUAUUAGUCUCAGGGCUUUCAUACGUCCAGAUGAUUUGGACUCAAUACUGAUAUGUUACAUGACAGACAUUUUAAUAGGUUCUCCCCUUUAAGUAACUAAUUUCAUAAUUUUAUUGAAAACAGAUGUUCAAACGGAUUAGACAAAACUGAUAUUAGAAAGAACGAAAUAUAUGGCCGCCACAGAUUACUUUUCAAUAUUGGUCAGUUUUCAGUUUUCCAUCUCAAACUAUGCAGCCACACAGUUCCAAACUUGAAAGUAAUUACGAUUCGUAAGACUUUUUGCAAAAAAUUUUCAUUUGUUAAAUUUUCUGUUUAUUGUCUCGCCUAUGAAGCCAGAAUUGAAAGCAUGGUCAUUUAAUCACAUCUUUUUAACCCGGAAAUUCAGAGCUUGGCAUAUUGUUAAUAUAGUGAAGACUGUAUAUUGCCAUCAUGAUAUCAUUUGAAUUUGAAAUGUUGAAUUUUUAAUGUGAUGCUACAUUGCAGUCUCAGUGUCUAAAUAUUUCAAAUUGUUUUGUAUUACAAAAAUAAAAUAAAGCAAAUUCACACGGCUAUCAAUGUUAAGUCUGAAUAAGCUCAUCUUUUAAUUCAGAUUGAAAAAUAUGAUAGUCAUUUUGAUGAUAUUGUUCUAUGUUAUCAGUAGUAAUGUUGGUUAAUCAAAUAUGUAAUCAAAUACCUUACGCGUUUUCUGUAUACAAAGUAAACUACAAAAUUAAUGUUCAUCUCCACGUGACCAAAAUAAAAUAACAAUUCACCAGGCAUUUACAACAAAGCUGUUGUCAUGUUGUUAAUUAUUUAAAUACAUUUUUUCGUACACACUUGUCAACUAGGUCCCUUGUAAGGUACUUAAACUAAUGUUGUUGAGUUUUGCUGCUUCUUUUUUCAUUCCAAAGCUAAGAUUAAAUAUUAGAGAUAAGGGCAACAACUUUUACACACAUAUUGCUUAUGCUUUCUUUUUUUCAGCAAACGGUUUCCUAUGUGAAUGAAUCACAGCCUGAAAAUACUUUAAAUACAACAGAUAUUCAUAUUGCCGUAACAAAGUAGCAAUCAGUGACGACCACAGCCGGGGAAUUAACUGAUAAAACAUUAUUGUACCCUUAAAGUCAACAAGAAUUAAGUGGAACUAAUCAUGAAGCUGAAAUUCAUCUAACACAAAAUCUUUUAAUAUUGUUUCACCGCCGUACAAUGAAUAUCAUUGACAUAAUAUACAACAGUAUUUUCAGACAGUAUGUGUUUAUAUUUAAUCUCAUAGCAUUACAUUGAAUAUUAACAAAAACAUACAAGAGAAAAUCGGUGACUUCAUUCCUAGUUACGUUAUAUCAGAGGAAAGGAGAAACAAGAAAGACUCUUUUAUGACAUUUUAUUUUUAAACCCAUUUUGUUACAUGCGUUAAACAUUUUUCUAUACGAGAAAAAUUUAUCGUAAUGAACUUUCGGUUCAGUAUUUUGCGUAUUUGCAGUAAUCUCUAUAUGAAGCAAAGAUUAAAUAGGACCUAAAUUACUCUACACGCAUAUUUGGGACCAAUAUUCGGAAAAUCUUAUCAACUGGAACAUAUUGUGCAUUUGCUGCUUCUGCAAGAAUGUUGCUGCAUAAAAAAGAAAGAUAGCAAAUACAACUAAUUCGUAAUCCCUUUUGUUUUGACCUCAUAAUUAACUUCUUGGCUCUAGCUGUAGCAGUGGUAUCCUUAUUUUCAAUUUCAAUACGAAACUAAUUUACGUAUCAAUAAGUAAGCCAUGUGGUACCGGUAUGAUUAUGUUAUGACAAUUGUGAUAUUUUGCCAGCAUUAAAAAUAAGGAGAUUGGUAUGAAUGCAUUAUACAUCUUUAUAAAAUCAACUAUUUCUGUAGAUUAAUUGAAUUCCACAAAGUUAAAAUCUUAGUUUAUGAGGAACAGCAAUGUAAUUCAUAUUUUUGUUUUAAAUUAGAAAGUAGAUGUAUUAUCAAAAAUAAAGAUAUUUUAUAGUUAAACAAU